GCCACUUUAGCUCAUUUGGUAGAGCAACGGUUUUGUAAACCGUAGGUGGUCAGUUCGAUUCUGACAAGUGGCUCCA
rnacentral:tRNA from 1 species